rnacentral:rRNA from 1 species
GGUGGGUUGGUAGAGUAUACCAAGGGGCGCGAGAUAACUCUCUCUAAGGAACUCGGCAAAAUGACCCCGUAACUUCGGGAGAAGGGGUGCCAAGUAACUUAAAUUGCUUGGUCGCAGUGACCAGGCCCUGGCGACUGUUUAUCAAAAACACAGGUCUCCGCAAAGUCGUAAGACAACAUAUGGGGGCUGACGCCUGCCCAGUGCCGGAAGGUUAAAGAAGUUGGUUAUUCAUUUUUGGAGAAGCUGACGACUGAAGCCCCGGUGAACGGCGGCCGUAACAAUAACGGUCCUAAGGUAGCGAAAUUCCUUGUCGGGUAAGUUCCGACCCGCACGAAAGGCGUAACGAUCAGGGCACUGUCUCGGAGAGAGACUCGGUGAAAUAGACAUGUCUGUGAAGAUGCGGACUACCUGCACCUGGACAGAAAGACCCUAUGAAGCUUGACUGUAGCUUGGGAUUGGGUUCGGGCUCUUCUUGCGCAGCCUAGGUGGGAGGCGUUGAAAGCUUUCUUUUGGGAAAGCUGGAGCCAUCAGUGAGAGACCACUCUGGAGGAGCUAGAAUUCUAAUGGCGUUCCUUGAAGCAGGACGCUUGACAGUUUCAGGUGGGCAGUUUGACUGGGGCGGUCACCUCCUAAAAGGUAACGGAGGUGUGCAAAGGUUCCCUCAGGCUGGACGGAAAUCAGCCGUAGAGUGUAAAGGCAGAAGGGAGCUUGACUGCAAGACCUACAAGUCGAGCAGGGGCGAAAGCCGGCCUUAGUGAUCCGACGGUUCCAUGUGGAAGGGCCGUCGCUCAACGGAUAAAAGUUACUCUAGGAUAACAGGCUGAUCUUCCCCAAGAGUUCACAUCGACGGGAAGGUUUGGCACCUGAUGUCGGCUCAUCGCAACCUGGGGCGGUAGUACGUCCCAAGGGUUGGGCUGUUCGCCCAUGAAAGCGGUACGUGAGCUGGGUUCAGAACGUCGUGAGACAGUUCGGUCCAUAUCCGGUGUAGGCGCUAGAGCAUUGAGAGGAGCCUUCCAUAGUACGAGAGGACCUGGAAGGACGCACCUCUGGUAUACCAGUUAUCAUGCCAAUGGUACACGCUGGGUAGCCAUGUGCGGAGUGGAUAACCGCUGAAAGCAUCUAAGUGGGAAGCCCACCUCAAGAUGAGUGCUCUCCAUUAGGUCACAGGAAGACAACCUGUUUGAUAGGCAGAAGGUGUAAGGCCAGUAAUGGUUUCAGCUGAUCUGUACUAAUAGACC